CGACCAGAGUUGUAACGAUAUCUCUCGCGUGGACGUCUAUCGUUAUCAAAUUGAUGAUCACGUCGCGUAUCAGUUCCGGUAAUUCGCCUCUCACCAUGCCCGCCAGCUCUGUCAAGUCCUACAAAGUAAUCAGAGAUCAACCGAACUGCGAAACACUUCUUCUCGAACGCUCUCAUCGACUCUAGCACGUUGCCGUCAGAUUCCAAGAUGAGGUGGAUAUUCCGAGUCCAAAAUAUUUGCAACACGCAGAGGAUUAUCUGGAAAGGACGAGGAAAAGUUUGGAAUUAAGAGAGGAGCCCAGACAAGGCUUUUUCCUCGAUGAGUAUUAUUCUAAGAUAUAAUUUAUUUUAGCAAUGGCAAUCCGAAUCAUAAAAUAAAAAUAAAAAAAUAGUUCUACAGUAUGUAUACGGUAUGUAUAAAAUUUGGUAAGUGUUUGACCUGA